rnacentral:rRNA from 1 species
UACGUAUGGUGCAAGCGUUAUCCGGAUUUACUGGGUGUAAAGGGAGCGCAGGCGGCACGGCAAGCCUGAUGUGAAAGCCCGCGGCCCCACCGCGGGACUGCAUUGGGAACUACCGGGCUGGAGUGCCGGAGAGGUAGGCGGAAUUCCUAGUGUAGCGGUGAAAUGCGUAGAUAUUAGGAGGAACACCAGUGGCGAAGGCGGCCUACUGGACGGUGACUGACGCUGAGGCUCGAAAGCGUGGGGAGCAAACAGG